rnacentral:rRNA from 1 species
CCUACGGGAGGCAGCAGUGGGGAAUAUUGCGCAAUGGGCGAAAGCCUGACGCAGCGACGCCGCGUGAGGGAUGAAGGUCUUCGGAUCGUAAACCUCUGUCAGCAGGGAAGAACGGUCACUGUGCUAAUCAGCAGUGAAUUGACGGUACCUGCAAAGGAAGCCCCGGCUAAAUACGUGCCAGCAGCCGCGGUAAUACGUAUGGGGCAAGCGUUAUCCGGAUUUACUGGGUGUAAAGGGAGCGUAGGCGGCCUGGCAAGCCUGAUGUGAAAUACCGGGGCCCAACCCCGGGGCUGCAUUGGGAACUGCCAGGCUGGAGUGCCGGAGAGGCAGGCGGAAUUCCUAGUGUAGCGGUGAAAUGCGUAGAUAUUAGGAGGAACACCAGUAGCGAAGGCGGCCUGCUGGACGGUGACUGACGCUGAGGCUCGAAAGCGUGGGGAGCAAACAGGAUUAGAUACCCUGGUAGUC